CAGCCGCCGCGGGAAUACGAAGGGGGCUAGCGUUGUUCGGAUUUACUGGGCGUAAAGGGUGCGUAGGCGGAUUGUUAAGUCAGGGGUGAAAUGCCGGGGCUCAACCUCGGAACUGCCUUUGAUACUGGCGAUCUUGAGUCCGGGAGAGGUGAGUGGAACUGCGAGUGUAGAGGUGAAAUUCGUAGAUAUUCGCAAGAACACCAGUGGCGAAGGCGGCUCACUGGCCCGGAACUGACGCUGAGGCACGACAGCGUGGGGAGCAAACAGGAUUAGAUACCCCCGUAGUCCCUGUCUCUUAUAC
rnacentral:rRNA from 1 species